rnacentral:lncRNA from 13 species
UGAAGCAUGAGAGCCCUGCCCCGUGGUAUUUACAGCAGUCACAUCCGCGGAGGUACAGAGCGGGCUUUAACGUUAACUGCUCGGCAGCAGAUACAAGAAGCUGGGGAGGAAGUGUCACUUCUCAUAAACCACCCGAGUCGCUCGCAUUAAUCACCGAGGCAGCCAGCAGCGAUGGUUACAGCAGGGGCGUUCCUCGAGCAGUUGUGUACAAUGCGCCGAGAUGGUUGCUUAGGGGGGAAAAAACGAUGGAAGAGACAGAGACAGGAACAGUGAGAGAGAUGGAGACAGGGAGAAGCUUCUUAAGAAGAGAGGCGAGCAGCACGUGAACACCGGACAUUUCUAGUGAAGACAAGACUGGGACCAUUUCCACCAGCUGUCUCCAACUACAUUCUUUCGGUCUGAAUUUAGAUUGUCAUCCAAUGAGCAAAGACCAUUUCCGCUUCCGAAUCCUGCAGCUUGUGACUGUCCCUUUAAAAAGCGUUGCAGCAGUGGGAGAGAGGGCGAAGUAGCUGAUGGAGCACUUUCCCAGUACUUAGGCCCAGAUGGGAAUGAACGACAAGAGAAGUAAAGAAGGCUAUGAAGAGGAAUGAGCACUGGAACGGGAGUCCGCAGAUCUGAAACACAUCAUCUGACCCUCUGUCUACUCCCUGUAUGGCUGCAGGCCCUCUCCUCACCCGGCCUAGCCCUUUGCUGUGAAGUUGGUUCAUGCAGGAGCAAUGAGGAGCAUGGGAUGGAGGGGAGUGAUUUGGGAAGGUUGAAGUCAGUGUGACCCCAGAAACUACAUUUGAACAUCACGCAUGAAGCCCUCACCAGAAACUGACCGGAUCUGCGUGCCCAAUCUUGGACCUCCCAACCUCCAGAAUCAUGAGCUGAAUAAACCUUUUCUUUAUAAAUUACUCA